rnacentral:rRNA from 1 species
UACAGAGGGUGCGAGCGUUAAUCGGAAUCACUGGGCUUAAAGCGUGUGUAGGCGGAUCGUUAAGUGUCUUGUGAAAUCCCACGGCUCACCCGUGGAACUGCUGGGCAUACUGGCGAUCUUGGGCCAACUAGGGGCAACUGGAACAAGCGGUGGAGCGGUGAAAUGCGUAGAUAUCGCUUGGAACGCCAAAGGUGAAAACAGGUUGCUGGGGUUGUGCCGACGCUGAGACACGAAAGCCAGGGGAGCAAACGGGG